GACGAACGCUGGCGGCGUGCUUAACACAUGCAAGUCGAACGGAAAGGCCCUGCUUUUGUGGGGUGCUCGAGUGGCGAACGGGUGAGUAACACGUGAGUAACCUGCCCUUGACUCUGGGAUAACUUCAGGAAACUGGGGCUAAUACCGGAUAGGAGCUCCUGCUGCAUGGUGGGGGGUGGAAAGUUUCGGCGGUUGGGGAUGGACUCGCGGCUUAUCAGCUUGUUGGUGGGGUAGUGGCUUACCAAGGCUUUGACGGGUAGCCGGCCUGAGAGGGUGACCGGCCACAUUGGGACUGAGAUACGGCCCAGACUCCUACGGGAGGCAGCAGUGGGGAAUAUUGCACAAUGGGCGGAAGCCUGAUGCAGCAACGCCGCGUGCGGGAUGACGGCCUUCGGGUUGUAAACCGCUUUCGCCUGUGACGAAGCGUGAGUGACGGUAAUGGGUAAAGAAGCACCGGCUAACUACGUG
rnacentral:rRNA from 1 species